rnacentral:misc_RNA from 1 species
UCAACCCUACGCGCCGCGAUCUUUUCACCACGGCCUGAUGGCCCGUAAACACCCCCAUGGCUUCGGCCAGUGGGGGCUGUUUUUCAGCAGGCAUUGAACGCAGUGUCUGCCGAAAAACAGUUUUUCAUCCUCCGCCGUAAUGGCCUUGGAUAAAAAAAGGUAGCUCGCCUUCCCCAAGCA